ACUCAAAGGAAUAGACGGGGACCCGCACAAGCGGUGGAGCAUGUGGUUUAAUUCGAAGGUACGCGAAGAACCUUACCUAGACUUGAAAUCCUUAGAAUCCUGUAGAGAUACGGGAGUGCUUGUUUACAAGAGCUAAGUGACAGGUGCUGCACGGCUGUCGUCAGCUCGUGUCGUGAGAUGUUGGGUUAAGUCCCGCAACGAGCGCAACCCUCGUGAUUAGUUGCUAACAGUUCGGCUGAGCACUCUAAUCGGACUGCCUUCGUAAGGAGGAGGAAGGUGAGGACGACGUCAAGUCAUCAUGGCCCUUAUGUCUAGGGCUACACACGUGCUACAAUGGUUGGGACAAAGAGCAGCGAUACCGCGAGGUGGAGCAAAUCUUAAAACCCAAUCUCAGUUCGGAUUGGAGUCUGCAACUCGACUCCAUGAAGCUGGAAUCGCUAGUAAUCGUAGAUCAGCAAUGCUACGGUGAAUACGUUCCCGGGUCUUGUACUCACCGCCCGUCACACCAUGGGAGUUGAUUUCGCUCGAAGCCGGAAUACUAAAUUAGUUACCGUCCACAGCGGAAUUAGCGACUGGGGUGAAGUCGUAACAAGGUA
rnacentral:rRNA from 1 species